CCAGACUCCUACGGGAGGCAGCAGUCGGGAAUAUUGCGCAAUGGAGGAAACUCUGACGCAGUGACGCCGCGUAUAGGAAGAAGGUUUUCGGAUUGUAAACUAUUGUCGUGAGGGAAGAAAUUGACAGUACCUCAGGAGGAAGCUCCGGCUAACUAUGUGCCAGCAGCCGCGGUAAUACAUAGGGAGCAAGCGUUAUCCGGAUUUAUUGGGUGUAAAGGGUGCGUAGGCGGACUGUCAAGUCAGCGGUAAAAGGGGGGGCCCCCCCCCCCGCCCGCCGUUGAAACUGACGGUCUUGAGUGGGCGAGAAGUAUGCGGAAUGCGUGGUGUAGCGGUGAAAUGCAUAGAUAUCACGCAGAACUCCGAUUGCGAAGGCAGCGUACCGGCGCCCAACUGACGCUGAAGCACGAAGGCGUGGGUAUCGAACAGGAUUAGAUACCCCAGUAC
rnacentral:rRNA from 1 species